rnacentral:sRNA from 1 species
UAAAGAGGCUUGCGCCCAGGCUCUCGGUACUUCGGAAGAGCUCCCGGAGUUUGACCCCAUCAGGUGGAUAGGGGAACCGUUACGGACGCAUUGCGACGUCUCUAACGACGCAGGCC